rnacentral:lncRNA from 1 species
CUGAGGAGGCCCAUGCUACCAGCCCGUGGUGCUGCUAACUGCCAGGACAGCCAACCAGGACUCGGGGGAGGAGGAACGGUGCCUCGGUCACUCUGGGGGCAGUUUAGAUGCUGUGAAAUUAAACCUGUUCUAAGUGUACUUGUUUGAAUUAACUGUAUUGUAAUAUUAUUUGUUGAAUGUAGUAAUUAGGUAUUUAUGAAUAUAUUGCUGUAAUUUCUGACAACAUCCAGAAAAUAAAAUCUUCCUAAAUCAUGUU